rnacentral:rRNA from 1 species
CGGGUGAGUAACACGUGGAUAACCUACCUAUAAGACUGGGAUAACUUCGGGAAACCGGAGCUAAUACCGGAUAAUAUUUUGAACCGCAUGGUUCAAAAGUGAAAGACGGUCUUGCUGUCACUUAUAGAUGGAUCCGCGCUGCAUUAGCUAGUUGGUAAGGUAACGGCUUACCAAGGCAACGAUGCAUAGCCGACCUGAGAGGGUGAUCGGCCACACUGGAACUGAGACACGGUCCAGACUCCUACGGGAGGCAGCAGCG